GCGCCUGUAGCUCAGUGGCAGAGCAGUGCUCUUAUAAGGCAUUGGCCCCUGGUUCGAAUCCAGGCAGGCGCACAA
rnacentral:tRNA from 1 species